CCUACCCACAAUCCACCCCUACCCACAGCCCACCCCUACUCACAGCCCACCCCUACCCACAGCCCUGCCCAUAAGACAUCACCAUGCCCUGAGCUCAGUCUUCAGACUCCAUGAAGGUUCCCAUUAACUGACAGCCAGCCUCUCUUUCUGCUGCAUGCUCCAACAGGGCCUUCCCUUCCUACCCCUUUCUCCCCUUCCCCUAGCUCCCUGAAGAGGCUCUACCUUGCAUUCCCUGUCCUCUCCCAAGUGUCCUCUGUGUCCUAUCCCACGCCUCCCUCGGAACAUUUGCCACACUGUAUUGGUCACCAGGGCCAUCAGCGGAACUCACUGAAAGUCCAGGAAUGGCAAACGUUCCGUUGGCUGACUUGAACUUAAGGCUUUGUUCUCUUCCUGCCCCUCUGGAAUCCAGCAGUACGGAGUGUAUCCCACUACGACCAGCGGCCUGCGGCAGGGAGCUCUCUCAGUGCUCCAAGGCUGUCCGAUUUCCUCACCACAGCCCUUCUCACUUCACCUGUGGGUUCCAAGGAGCCCAGCGCAAGCCUUGGGCUUUCAAUCCAAUGGCCCCAGAAAAACCCGGUGAGUUUUUGGUGUUUGAGUAAAUUCAGUAGGUGUUUGCCCAGCAACUCAGCCAUGUCAGGCUGCUGUGUGAGUUCCAAGAAAGCUUAUUUAUUUCUACAGUGGUCCUUGGUCACAGUCUGUCUUCUGUUCUCUCUCCCUCAAUAGUAUUGUCAGAGCUAAUUAGGGAAAAUCAGGUAAGUUAGCUGCAUUCAGUAUUUUAAAAUGGUCUCGUUGUCUGUGAGAUUUCAGGAUAAUCAGCAAACGAGUAAAGGCCUGGAGAAUUCCUCUCAAGGCAGCUCUUGAGAGACUCGUCUGUCCAGUUCUCUCUGUUCAGCCUGAGGGACAGCCCUUUUAACUAGGAUGGAGAGCACCUCGAAAUGCCCCAAGUUAAGGCAAACCUGUGACCAUCUUGGUUUCGCAGAGAGUAUAUGUGCAGGUUUAGGCUCCCUACACAAGGACGUCUCUCCCCUAAGCAACGAGGGACUGCGAACAGCAUCGCCUGAUGGGACUCCGUGGACUACUCUUUCCACGUCUGGGGCUGUGCUUGGGAAUGCUUUCCAUGCACAAAGAGGAAGACCCGACAAGACGGCUCUGAUAAGUAAAGACUGGCUGACGCAGGGCAGGGGUGGUAGGCUGAACUGUGAGUACGCUGAAGUCCUCACUGAUUUGGAAACAGUAGGUGAAGUUAUCUAGGGCGGUGUGGGCCCUACACGUCUGACAUCCUUAUUCGAUAGAGGUGUGAGGACAGGCCAGGCUAACCUGUGUGACUCUGAAGGCCGCUUAGAGCAGUGCUGACACAGGCCAAAGAGCACAAGCCGUGAGAGCAGGAAGGAGGCAAGAAGGGGCGGGGCUCCUCUGCCAAGAGGGGGCGUGGCCUUGGGUUCCUUGGCUCCUCAACCUCCAGCCUCUAGAGUGGGGGAUACAGUGAGGUCUCCUGGGUUUUCAUAGCUCAGUUUUAGUUGUGGCUGUGGCUCCAGGAUGGCCCCAAGGACACACCGGUUGAGAAAAGAGACUGGCUAGACGCUAAUUUCUUCCUGGGUUCAUGAUGAUAGGACACGAUCCAGCUGUCAACCACCUGGAAGUCGCCUGGUCUCACUAGCAGAACUCAAGCAUCAGGCCUGUGAACAUCAGGUCAAGGACAAGGUGGUUAAGAGCGGUUAUGCUGCAGGCUCGGCGUCUCGAGGCUACGGAAGCCACGGGUCGUUCACGCAAGAGUUCCAGGGCAAGGAGCAGCAUGGCUGGUGACGGCAGGGAGGGGCCGGUCUGUAAGCUGUGGAGUUCUCUGUGUGUGGACAGGAGCCCCGGACACAGGCCAACAGUACACCCCGGUAUACUUCUCGUCACUCUCAGCCAAGGAAGCAGGGCUCAGUGGAACUUGGAGGGAGGUAGGGCCGGCCCGCAGCGUCUCCCCACCUGGCUGGUCCAGAUGGGUCACACGGAAAAGGAACCGCCGAGACCCUUUCCGAGUUCACAUGAGGUGGUCUGUUCUCCGUGGGAUAUGAAAAAUGCCGUUCUUGGUGUAAAACGAAUUUGCGAUGGGGUGCGUUUUGGCAUGAGCUGGAGUCCUGAAGUCCUUGGCAUCCCCUGGAACACAGCAGAGGCCUGGGUGAACAGGGGUCGCCACCAUCCUCCUGCUAGAACUUCCCCACCUAAAGGGCCGAGGGUCAGCGGUGACGUGUUACCACAUGGGGGAGACUCUUCCGUCAGUCAGGGAUAGCUGUCGCCUCUCAGUGCCCCUGGCCCCUUCCCGAGGAUGCUCAGAACUCCUCGUGGCCCCACAGCUAAAGGCUAAUGUGUGCACAGCGUGGAACCUCAAACCUUGCACAGGACCCCAUCAGGGUCUGUUCGGGCCAGCGCUCAAGUCAUUCCAACGGUUACCCAGCUGGGCCCUGCACCUAACUCCAAGCUCACCUGCCUUUGUCAGGACUGUGUCACUGUAUAGUAAGAUUUCUAGGGGCUGCCCAAGGCCAAACUAACUCCUCAGAUGCCCACCGCUGCAAAUCCUGCCUGCCGCGCCAGGAGUAACAACCAUAACUUAAUAAUAACAAACUAAUAAAUACAAUGUUUGUUCCUA